CUUGGGACCAACUCUCACCUCUGG
rnacentral:piRNA from 1 species